rnacentral:rRNA from 1 species
UACAGAGAGUGCGAACGUUGUUCGGAAUUACUGGGCUUAAAGCGCCCGUAGGCGGCAUCGUCAGUGUCUGGUGAAAUCCCACGGCUCACCCGUGGAACUGCCAGGCAUACUGUGAUGCUCGAGUGUGGUAGGGGAGAGCGGAACUCCUGGUGGAGCGGUGAAAUGCGUAGAUAUCAGGAGGAACACCGGUGGCGAAGGCGGCUCUCUGGUCCACAACUGACGCUGAGGUGCGAAAGCUAGGGGAGCAAACGGG